GAUGAACGUUGGCGGCGUGCCUAAUACAUGCAAGUCGAGCGAACGGACGAGAAGCUUGCUUUUCUGAUGUUAGCGGCGGACGGGUGAGUAACACGUGGAUAACCUACCUAUAAGACUGGGAUAACUUCGGGAAACCGGAGCUAAUACCGGAUAAUAUUUUGAACCGCAUGGUUCAAAAGUGAAAGACGGUCUUGCUGUCACUUAUAGAUGGAUCCGGGCUGCAUGAGCUAGUUGGUAAGGUAACGGCUUACCAAGGCAACGAUGCAUAGACGACCUGAGAGGGUGCUAGCCCACACUGGAGCUGAGACACGGCCCAGACUCCUCAGGGAGGCAGCAGUAGGGAAUCGUACGCAAUGGGCGAGAGCCUGACGGAGCAACGACGCGUGAGUGAUGAAGGUCUUCGGAUCGUAAAACUCUGUUAUUAGGGAAGAACAUAUGUGUAAGUAACUGUGCACAUCUUGACGGUACCUAAUCAGAAAGCCACGGCUAACUACGUG
rnacentral:rRNA from 1 species